AAGGGAGUAGGCAGGCCUUUGGGGCGUGAAGGUUGGAGCAAAUGGGAGGAGUCUGAAUAUUUAAGGGGUCCUCCCGAACUAGCGUUUGCACACCUACUCCCACCCAUCCCACAAGUGGUUUUACAGAUGCAAACGAAAUUCAAAUCGCCCCUUUAUUGAUCUUAAAUUAAAGACCCAUUCUCUUCUCCUUCCCUCCCAGAUAUCUCUUUCUUUGCUCAGGUGAGGGACAGAACUCUCCUUAUCCACUAACUUCUGGCCUCCAAACUUGUCUAGCUUUUGGAUUUUUUUUUUUUUUUUUUUUUUUGGUGCGGUCCCUGAAAGACAUGAACACUUUAGCCAAGUUACAUCUGGAUCUCUCCAGCGGAUGAGUCUGGAACAAUGCCUGUUCUUAGAAGAAGUGGGCUUGAUCCAGAACUAUGUCCUUUCCAACCAGAGGGAACGGAAAAGGAUCUUUCAGAGAAAUUACCAUGGCUCCUUUCUGAAUGACUGCCCAGUGACGUCCACGAGAGACUGAGAUGGCUCGUUUUUGAGGGACUGAGGCAUCUCAGAGAAUAGAGAGUCUGCUGACUCCUCCCUGAAAGACUGUGUAGACUCUUCUUCACAGAAGGAAUGUGCCCUCUUCUCUCUAGAAGUCUACAAGGGCUUCUCCCUGAGGGACUGUGAAGGUUCCUUCCUGAGGGACUACAAGGGCUCCACCUCAAGUGACUUCUAGGGCUCUUCCCUGAAGGACUUGGAAAGCUACUCCCUGAGGGAUUUUGAGGACUUCUCCUUGAGGAACUGUGGCCUCUCCCCUUAAAGAGACUGUUAUGUCUUCUAUCAAAGAGCUAUGAUAAGUUCUUACAGAGGAACUAAGACUGUUUCUCUGGGAGGGACUUUAAUGACUCUGAUUUCAUCAAGGAAGUAAACUCAGCCCCGGUACAAGAGACAGACACAUGCUCAGUGACUUCCUGGAAUAUGUCGCUGAACUUUGAACUAGUUUUCUUGACUCCCAAUCUACUACCAGAGUAUUGCUGGAUUAUGGAAGAUGUUGAGCAGAGUGUUGACAUCGUUAAAGGCAUUCUUUUCUCAUUACUGUGACAUAAAAUAUGUCUCUGAAUAUAGUUUUUAACCACU
rnacentral:lncRNA from 1 species